UGCCAUUUUGCUACUGGUAAACAUAUCGUUCUCUGAUUUAAAUACGACUAUUUCUGUCAAAUGUUACAUAUUAGUCUCUUCUGCAAGGGUUCGCUCGACGAUCUUGUCGAGUUAACCUUUAUAUUUUGCGCAUAAUAAAAAAAAAAAAAGAGAACAGGUUCUGAGUUCUCGAACGAUUACACUACCGUGCCAGUUUUUUAUGCGUUGCGGUAUUAAGAAGUGAUUCAUUUAUUGCAUGGUAAUGAAAUUUAUGUCAUAUACAUGUGUGACUACGUUUUGCAUAUCAAGAAUUUUUUCAAGGUUUUCUACAUUUUGAGUAAUGUGUCAUCGAACACAUAAUAAUAUAUUUCGAACGACGCCUAUCAUUUUCAUUUAUUUUUUUUGCUAUUUGUGUAUUUUCUCUCUAAAUCCUUUCUAUUGCAAAUUGAAACGCAAUAUUACUUAACAUUAACAUUAUUAUUCAUAAAUACGUUAUUUUUACGCAAUUUAUCAAUGAUGCCGUAUAAAAUGGUAACUUCCUACUGACAAGACUAUAGAAGAACUAGUAUAUAUUUGCAAAGUAAUAUCUGAGGUUCUUUCUAUUAACUCUCAAAAUGAUGGAAACCGAUCCUCCUCAAUUUUUGUCAAAAGAUGAUGAAAUUCAAUAUUGGAUGGAUCUUGCUCAUCAGAUGCAUCAAAGAAAAGAAGAUGUUGAAAGAGAAUUGGAAGAAUUUCAAGAAAAUUCUCAAAUGUUAGAAAAAGAAUUAGAAACAUCUUUAGAACAAGCUGAAAAAGCAAAUAGAGAAUUAAGACAAAGGAAUACACGACUUGCAACAGAAGUAGAGCAAUUAAGAACAAGAUUAGAUCAACAAACUGCGGAUUGUGCUAUGUUUCAGUCACAAGCACAAGAUUUGCAAUUACAACAUGAGCAAUUGAUGAAAUAUAUCAGAGAACUGGAACAGAAGAAUGAUGAUUUAGAAAGAGCACAUAGGGUAAAUAGAGUAACGGAAGAAGAGAUAGAAGCUAAAUUUAACUUGGCAAUAGAAAAGAAUGCUUUACUUGAGUCGGAGCUCGAUGAAAAGGAAGGCUUAAAAGUCAUAGUACAAAGAUUAAUGGAUGAAAUUAGAGAUUUGAAACAAGAGAUUCAAGUACAAGAGCGACACCAACCAGAUAAUGAUAAGACAGCAGAUAGAGUUCGUAAUCUUGUAGAUAGUAAUAAACUACAAGUUGAACUAGAAACACAUACACCACCUUCCAGUCCAUUAGUUUCACAGUCUAUACCUUCAAAUAACACGACUCCAUCAUUGAAAAUUGGAAAUGGAGUAGUAGGGGGUGUAAUUGGGAACAACAAUAAUAAUAUAAAUCCACCGUUGGCACCAUGUACCAGAAUAUUAGCGAUGAAUAUGAUUGGAGACCUGAUGCGAAAAGUUGGACUUGACAGAUGGGUCUGCAUGGACUGUAGGAGGGUGAAAUGCACUUGUCCAAAUGGAAAAAAAUCAAAUACCAUUCCAACAAAUAAUGCACCAUCGAUUCAAGUUUAUACACCUACACAGUGUAUUAGGCAACAACCUAGACCAGCCAAAUGCAGACAAUCUUCGUGAUACCUCAUCAUUAAAUUAUUUUCCAUCUCCUUAUAAUGCAGGCUUUGGAAAACAAAUUGAAUACAUGCAGAAAUGCAUCACGAGAGGACCAAGCUGUACGUGAUCUCUACAGGAGUAGACGACAAGUGAGAGGCGCAGCCUCAGGAAACAACAACCACAUUCGAUUGUAACAAGGUAUU